CAGUUCGGAUUGUAGUCCGCAACUCGACUACAUGAAGCUGGAAUCGCUAGUAAUCGCGGAUCAGAAUGCCGCGGUGAAUACGUUCCCGGGUCUUGUACACACCGCCCGUCAAGCCAUGGAAGCCGGGAGUGCCUGAAGUGCGUGAGCGCAAGCAGCGCCCUAAGGUAAAACCGGUGACUGGGGCUAAGUCGUAACAAGGUAUC
rnacentral:rRNA from 1 species